rnacentral:rRNA from 1 species
GACGAACGCUGGCGGCGUGCCUAACACAUGCAAGUCGAACGGGGUAGAGAGCUUCGGUUUUCUACUUAGUGGCGAACGGGUGAGUAACGCGUGAGAAACCUGCCUUUCAGUGGGGGACAACAGUUGGAAACGACUGCUAAUACCGCAUAAUGUUAUCGAGCGGCAUCGCUUGAUAACCAAAGCUUUAUGUGCUGAAAGAUGGUCUCGCGUCUGAUUAGCUAGAUGGCGGGGUAACGGCCCACCAUGGCGACGAUCAGUAGCCGGUCUGAGAGGAUGAACGGCCACAUUGGGACUGAGAUACGGCCCCAGACUCCUACGGAGGCAGCAGUGGGGAAUAUUGGGCAAUGGGGGAAACCCUGACCCAGCAA